UGAGGAAUAUUGGUCAAUGGACGCAAGUCUGAACCAGCCAAGUAGCGUGCAGGAUGACGGCCCUAUGGGUUGUAAACUGCUUUUAUAUGGGGAUAAAGUGGGGAACGUGUUCCCUUUUGCAGGUACCAUAUGAAUAAGGACCGGCUAAUUCCGUGCCAGCAGCCGCGGUAAUACGGAAGGUUCGGGCGUUAUCCGGAUUUAUUGGGUUUAAAGGGAGCGUAGGCCGUUUGGUAAGCGUGUUGUGAAAUGUAGGAGCUCAACUUCUAGAUUGCAGCGCGAACUGUCAGACUUGAGUGCGCACAACGUAGGCGGAAUUCAUGGUGUAGCGGUGAAAUGCUUAGAUAUCAUGAAGAACUUCGAUUGCGAAGGCAGCUUACGGGAGCGCAACUGACGCUGAAGCUCGAAGGUGCGGGUAUCGAACAGG
rnacentral:rRNA from 1 species